AAUCACAUCAUUCCGUUGCUCUGUAACGGUGUGAUUGAAGGACAAACCAACUAACAAACACACUUUCGCAUUUAU